rnacentral:rRNA from 1 species
UACGUAGGGUGCGAGCGUUAAUCGGAAUUACUGGGCGUAAAGCGUGCGCAGGCGGCUUUGCAAGACAGAUGUGAAAUCCCCGGGCUCAACCUGGGAACUGCAUUUGAGACUGCAAGGCUAGAGUACGGCAGAGGGGGAUGGAAUUCCGCGUGUAGCAGUGAAAUGCGUAGAUAUGCGGAGGAACACCAAUGGCGAAGGCAAUCCCCUGGGCCUGUACUGACGCUCAUGCACGAAAGCGUGGGGAGCAAACAGG